AUAUGAGUGCCAGAUUGUUUAUGGGCUGGUUUUAAGCACCAACUAAGAGAUUUAUUCUCCUCGUAUG
rnacentral:tRNA from 1 species